UACGUAGGGGGCAAGCGUUGUCCGGAUUUAUUGGGCGUAAAGAGCGUGUAGGCGGCUUUACAGGUCCGUUGUGAAAACUCGAGGCUCAACCUCGAGACGCCGGUGGAAACCGUAAGGCUAGAGUCCGGAAGAGGAGAGUGGAAUUCCUGGUGUAGCGGUGAAAUGCGCAGAUAUCAGGAGGAACACCCGUGGCGAAGGCGGCCCUCUGGACGGUGACUGACGCUGAGACGCGAAAGCGUGGGGAGCAAACAGG
rnacentral:rRNA from 1 species